AUUGAACGCUGGCGGCAGGCUUAACACAUGCAAGUCGAGCGAGCGGCGGACGGGUGCGUAAUGUCUGGGAAACUGCCUGAUGGCGGGGGAUAACGAAUGGAAACGGUAGCUAAUACCGCAUACCAUCAGAUGUGCCCAGAUGGGAUUAGCUAGUAGGUGGGGUAAUGGCGCACCUAGGCGACGAUCCCUAGCUGGUCUGAGAGGAUGACCAGCCACACGGGAACGUGGACACGGUACAUACUCCUCCGUGAGGCAGCAUUGGGGAAUAUUGCACAAUGGGCGCAAGCCUGAGGCAGCCAUGCCGCGUGUGUGAAGAAGGCCUUCGGGUUGUAAAGCACUUUCAGCGAGGAGGCGUUACUCGCAGAAGAAGCACCGGCUAACUCCGUGCCAGCAGCCGCGGUAAUUC
rnacentral:rRNA from 1 species